UCGAUGGAGAGUUUGAUCCUGGCUCAGGACGAACGCUGGCGGCGUGCUUAAUACAUGCAAGUCGAACGGGGUCCAACCGGUGGCAACACCGGGGAAGACCUAGUGGCGAACGGGUGAGUAACACGUGAGCAACCUGCCCCGAAGACCGGGAUAACACCGGGAAACUGGUGCUAAUACUGGAUACCCCCACCGGGCCGCAUGACCUGGUGAGGAAACGUUUUUCGCUUCGGGAGGGGCUCGCGGGCUAUCAGCUUGUUGGUGGGGUAACGGCCUACCAAGGCAGCGACGGCUAGCUGGUCUGAGAGGACGACCAGCCACACUGGGACUGAGACACGGCCCAGACUCCUACGGGAGGCAGCAGUAGGGAAUCUUGCGCAAUGGGCGAAAGCCUGACGCAGCAACGCCGCGUGGGGGAUGAAGGCUCUCGGGUUGUAAACCCCUUUCAGCAGGGACGAAAUUGACGGUACCUGCAGAAGAAGCCCCGGCCAACUACGUGCCAGCAGCCGCGGUAAUACGUAGGGGGCGAGCGUUGUCCGGAUUCAUUGGGCGUAAAGAGCUCGUAGGCGGCUUGGCAAGUCGGAUGUGA
rnacentral:rRNA from 1 species